rnacentral:miRNA from 1 species
UAAGGGGCGGACAGACGGCAGGAAGGGCCAGCAUGCCCCUACUGUUGCACCCCGCCU